rnacentral:rRNA from 1 species
CGGAAAGGUCCUGCUUUUGUGGGGUGCUCGAGUGGCGAACGGGUGAGUAACACGUGAGUAACCUGCCCUUGACUUUGGGAUAACUUCAGGAAACUGGGGCUAAUACCGGAUAGGAGCUCCUGCUGCAUGGUGGGGGUUGGAAAGUUUCGGCGGUUGGGGAUGGACUCGCGGCUUAUCAGCUUGUUGGUGGGGUAGUGGCUUACCAAGGCUUUGACGGGUAGCCGGCCUGAGAGGGUGACCGGCCACAUUGGGACUGAGAUACGGCCCAGACUCCUACGGGAGGCAGCAGUGGGGAAUAUUGCACAAUGGGCGGAAGCCUGAUGCAGCAACGCCGCGUGCGGGAUGACGGCCUUCGGGUUGUAAACCGCUUUCGCCUGUGACGAAGCGUGAGUGACGGUAAUGGGUAAAGAAGCACCGGCUAACUACGUGCCAGCAGCCGCGGUGAUACGUAGGGUGCGAGCGUUGUCCGGAUUUAUUGGGCGUAAAGGGCUCGUAGGUGGUUGAUCGCGUCGGAAGUGUAAUCUUGGGGCUUAACCCUGAGCGUGCUUUCGAUACGGGUUGACUUGAGGAAGGUAGGGGAGAAUGGAAUUCCUGGUGGAGCGGUGGAAUGCCC